UACGUAGGCAGCGAGCGUUGUUCGGAGUUACUGGGCGUAAAGGGUGUGUAGGCGGUUGUUUAAGUUUGGUGUGAAAUCUCCCGGCUCAACUGGGAGGAUGCGCCGAAUACUGAAUGACUUGGAGUGCGGGAGAGGUGAGUGGAAUUCCUGGUGUAGCGGUGAAAUGCGUAGAUAUCAGGAGGAACACCGGUGGUGUAGACGGCUCACUGGACCGUAACUGACGCUGAGACACGAAAGCGUGGGUAGCAAACAGG
rnacentral:rRNA from 1 species